rnacentral:rRNA from 1 species
AGUGAACGCUGGCGGUAGGCCUAACACAUGCAAGUCGAACGGCAGCACAGUAAGAGCUUGCUCUUACGGGUGGCGAGUGGCGGACGGGUGAGGAAUACAUCGGAAUCUACUUUUUCGUGGGGGAUAACGUAGGGAAACUUACGCUAAUACCGCAUACGACCUACGGGUGAAAGCAGGGGAUCUUCGGACCUUGCGCGAUUGAAAGAGCCGAUGUCGGAUUAGCUAGUUGGCGGGGUAAAGGCCCACCAAGGCGACGAUCCGUAGCUGGUCUGAGAGGAUGAUCAGCCACACUGGAACUGAGACACGGUCCAGACUCCUACGGGAGGCAGCAGUGGGGAAUAUUGGACAAUGGGCGCAAGCCUGAUCCAGCAAUACCGCGUGGGUGAAGAAGGCCUUCGGGUUGUAAAGCCCUGUUGUUGGGAAAGAAAAGCUGCAGGUUAAUCCCCCGCUGUUCUGACGGUACCCAAAGAAUAAGCACCGGCUAACUUCGUG